GACAUGCAGAGAACUUCCAGAGAUGGAUUGGUGCCUUCGGGAACGUCUGACACAAGUGCUGCAUGGCUGUCGUCAGCUCGUGUCGUGAGAUGUUGGGUUAAGUCCGUAACGAGCGCAACCCUUGUCCUUAGUUACCAGCACGUUAUGGUGGGCACUCUAAGGAGACUGCCGGUGACAACCGGAGGAAGGUGGGGGAUGACGUCAAGUCAUCAUGGCCCUUACGGCCUGGGCUACACACGUGCUACAAUGGUCGGUACAAAGGGUUGCCAAGCCGCGAGGUGGAGCUAAUCCCAUAAAACCGAUCGUAGUCCGGAUCGCAGUCUGCAACUCGACUGCGUGAAGUCGGAAUCGCUAGUAAUCGUGAAUCAGAAUGUCACGGUGAAUACGUUCCCGGGCCUU
rnacentral:rRNA from 1 species